CCUACGGGAGGCAGCAGUGGGGAAUAUUGGACAAUGGGCGCAAGCCUGAUCCAGCCAUGCCGCGUGAGUGAUGAAGGCCCUAGGGUUGUAAAGCUCUUUUGUCCGGGACGAUAAUGACGGUACCGGAAGAAUAAGCCCCGGCUAACUUCGUGCCAGCAGCCGCGGUAAU
rnacentral:rRNA from 2 species